rnacentral:lncRNA from 1 species
CAGACCACAGACUGAAGUGGGAACCCACCCCAGGUCCACCAUGCAGAAAAGAGGCGGAGGAUGCUGGAGACAGUAAGUGGUCUUUUUGCUUCUGUUGAACGAGAGAAAUCCCCACAAAGACUGUAAAAUAUGUGCAAGAUAGGAGACACAGUGUCCAAUCAACUCGCUCGAGCACAUGGGGCAUACUUAAAGGAAUCUGUGGGGGAGCCAGGCCUGCUACAGUUGUUAAAGCACCCCCCCCCCCAGCCCGGUUUUGAUUCUUAAGGCUUCCUGUGAGUAGUGAAAUCCACCUUAGUGGCUUCCUUCGGCUAGCUGGAAAUGUUUGCUGAGUGAAUGAAUGGAUUCUGUGACAGCCUGGGAAGCCCUGGCUCAUCAGGUUUACUCAUUUGUCAUGUGACCUUGCCUUUUGCUUAAAAAACAAAACAAAACAAAAACAAAAACAAACAAACAAAAAAACAAGGCUAAUAGGUUGCUCGGAAAAGUUUAGAGAACUAUUCUCUGAACCAACAAUACCAUUCUUAGGUACUAGAACGCUGCGGCAGAACAAUCUACAGUAAACCCCACCCCCGUGUCCAUGACCGGAGGGUGGGUAAACAGAGUGGAUUCCCAUACACUGGGGAAGUUCUCAGCGGUGGACAGGAAGGGCAUGCUGACUGACGUGUGUCAAGCUGACCCGGAAAACCAUGCCAGGUGGAAUAGGCAGAGCUAGAUGGCACGCACUGAUGUAUGCAGGCGGAGUCUGUAAAGACAGCACAGCCUGGGUUACUGAAGGGGGGCGGGGUGCUGGGCAACCCCCUGAUUCGUGGAAGCAUGAAGUACUGUCACUGGACUCUGUAAAACGCUUCAUUUUAUGUUGUGAGGAUUUCUUCUUAAUAAAA